AUCUAGUAAAUAAUUAGUAAACAAAACUAAUAACACAAUAUAAAGAAAUAUCGUUUCAUGUAGACAAAUAAUUUUUUUUAUAAAACAUAAAGUAUUUAAAAAUAAUUAAAUUGAAUUUUCGUAAGUAUAAAAUGUAUAAAAGUAAAAACAAAAUAUUUUUGAACACAAUGGUUGAUAGAAAUAGAUUAUGGUUUAUAGAAAUAGAUCACUAUUUCAUUGCAAUAAUAAUAAUAAUAAUUAUAAUAAGGCUAGUCUUCGAGUCGGAAGAUCAGUAAGGAAUGCAGUAGUUCCGUGGCUUCGCAGUCCCAACUGUGACCUACAUAUUUGACACAUUAGGGCAAGCAUAACCAUUGUCCGCAGGGGGUCGAUUUAGAUUUACUUUUCUCCGUCAGCGUUUGUCCUCGGCAGCAGAUCAGGUAUAUUAAGUUUGAAAGGAUUUGAAAGAAGAAAGUAUACAAUUUGUUUUGAACUAGAAACAUCUUUGAGAACAUUGAAUAGACACAAGACACAGUGGAAUAUAAAAAGAGGAACGAAGAGCCCAGGGUCGUAUAAAACAUAGAUCUAAAUCUAAGACAUUAACGCAUUUUCCAAUCUGGUUGAUUAAAUAAAAGAACUUGUAUAAAAGUAUAUGGUAUUUGUAUUUACAAUAUAAAGUGUUUGACUUACAGAAUGUGUGGAAAAUAAAUGCAAAAAUAAAACAAAGCACAUUCACAGACUGAUGAAUAGGAAGACAUCUCCAGUCAAAUAGAAUACAGUUUGACCCACCCCAUAAUGCCCACAUUUGUUAGUGUAACUUAUCGAAAAUGGUACUAAAUACUGGAAUACCAGUUAAAUGCUUACCAUGCAAUAAAGGCUUCAAAAAUACAAUCUAUGCAAUUAAACAAAACAAAAUGUCUCUUAUAAGUGAUGAACAACAUAAACCUACAGUGUAGAGAGGAAAUGAACAACAUACAC